rnacentral:rRNA from 1 species
UACGUAGGUGGCAAGCGUUGUUCGGAAUUAUUGGGCGUAAAGGGCGCGUAGGCGGCUUGUUAAGUCGGCUGUGAAAGCCCGGGGCUCAACCCCGGAGGGUCAGCCGAUACUGGCAGGCUAGAGUACGGAAGAGGUAGCUGGAAUUCCCGGUGUAGCGGUGAAAUGCGUAGAUAUCGGAAGGAACAUCAGUGGCGAAAGCGACUUCCUGGACCAGUACCGACGUUCAGGCACGAAAGCGUGGGGAGCAAACAGG